AAAGUGGAGCAUCCAUGAGUAAAGUGGCGCACGGGUGAGUAACACGUGACUAACCUACCCUUGAGUGGGGGAUAACCUAGGGAAACCUGGGCUAAUACCGCAUAAUACCCACGGGUCAAAGGAGCAAUUCGCUUAAGGAGGGGGUCGCGGCAGAUUAGUUAGUUGGUGGGGUAAUGGCCCACCAAGACGAUGAUCUGUAUCCGGCCUGAGAGGGCGCACGGACACACUGGAACUGAAACACGGUCCAGACUCCUACGGGAGGCAGCAGUGGGGAAUUUUGCGCAAUGGGGGAAACCCUGACGCAGCAACGCCGCGUGGAGGAUGAAGACCCUUGGGUCGUAAACUCCUUUCGAUCGGGACGAUAAUGACGGUACCGGAAGAAGAAGCCCCGGCUAACUUCGUGCCAGCAGCCGCGGUAAUACGAGGGGGGCAAGCGUUGUUCGGAAUUAUUGGGCGUAAAGGGUGUGUAGGCGGUUAGACAAGUCUUGUGUGAAAUCUUCGGGCUCAACUCGAAGUCUGCAUAAGAAACUGUUUGGCUAGAGUGUGGGAGAGGUGAGUGGAAUUCCCGGUGUAGCGGUGAAAUGCGUAGAUAUCGGGAGGAACACCUGUGGCGAAAGCGGCUCACUGGACCACAACUGACGCUGAGACACGAAAGCUAGGGGAGCAAACAGGAUUAGAUACCCUGGUAGUUCUAGCCCUAAACGAUGAUCGCUUGGUGUGACGGGUACCCAAUCCCGCCGU
rnacentral:rRNA from 1 species